ensembl:lncRNA
AGCAGGAUCAUGCACCUACAGGGGUCAUGCACCUUGUACAUGGUCAGUGUCUGUGAUUGCACAUGACCCAUGCUAUCAGCUAAAACAAAGCAAACCACUUCAAGACAGGUCAGGGAUUUUGGAGAACACUGUUUGCACACCAUGUUUGUACAUCCUCUUUUCUCAUCCUCCAGUCCCAGCUGGAAGCACAACAGAGAGGAAUCCACCUCUGGGCUGGUAAGCUAGAUGUUUUCUGCUUUUCCUCUGUCCAUUUAGACAGUCAGUGUUUGAGCAGAGCUGCUGCUGACAAAUGAAUCAGCUCACAAGGGGACAGCUGUUGCCAUUGGGGAUCCAGUGCUCAUCUCCUCAAAGUGCCAUUUCAUGGGGCUGAAGGCAACAACCUGGCAGAGCCAAGAUGUCACAGAGAUGCUCCUGCAGGUAAGGCAGGCUUUCAGAAGGCUUCUUGACCUUCCCAGCAAUGCAUUCUCCUCCUUCCCUGCAACAGCAUGCAGGAGACUUCUGCCUUUGGAGACCUUUAGCUUUUGUUGUACCUUGGAGCAUGAAAGGAACAGCCCUUCUCCCUCCCUCUCCGCUCUGCCCCAAGGAAAGCAUGCAGGACAUCCAGUGAACCAGAGUGGAAUUUUGCCCCAUGGAAGCAGAGAGUCCCCAGAGCAGCUGCCAUUCCUCAGGUCUCUACCAGCCAGUCCUGCUUUAGCCCAGCUGGGAAGACACUGAAUUCACUCACAGGGAUGUAAUGAGAGCUGACAACUGUUCCAUGCUCCAACAUGGAGAUUAUGCAGAGUCUGGAGUUUUGUGUCUGGCUCUUGAUACCCGCCCGGCUCCUGGAUGUGGACAAAACCAUCUGCUUUGCAGAAGGGACUGCACAGAGAGACCCCAGUGUCUGGGGACUGUGACCCAGCCAUCAGUUGCCAUUAAUAUCCAUUGGAUACCCACAGCCAGCAGCCCUGAAUCAGACCCUUGGAAGGUUUUUCUUUCUCUGCCUGGAAUGAAUAACCUAACUCCAAGCUGAAAGAACUGCAUUUUACCCUCUAAUCAGAGAACAAACAGGGUUAGGUUUAUUGCUAAACAUCACACCUGUUUCCAUAACAGAAGCAGAAGACAAGGACGUUGUCACUGAUGGAAUAUAAAUUACAGGUGUCCAUAUUGACUCAGGUAAGCUCCACCUGGGGGCACUGCAGUUCAUAUAUCUGUCAUUCAUAGUAAAUAAUUCUAGCAAACAAAUUCAGCCCAACACCUGCUUCUGUUUAAUUUUAAGUGUUGAAAGUGACAAAGCUAUUCAUGCACCUGCAUUAAACUUAUGUUCAGUUGCUUAAAUUAAUUGCUGUAACACUGUAUAUUUAAACUUCAAAAAAAGAAAGAACUUUAUACAGUGUUAAUUAGAUGAAUCAUUAUAGUUUUCUUUGGAUUUUAUUUCAACUUGCUCUGCUCACACUCUUGAAGACACUAAAAGAAUAGGCAGGGUUAAACAGAGAUCUGUAAGAAGUCAUCCUCCUAGUGAAUUUGCAGAAUCAUUACAAUUGGGAAAGACCUCAAACUCAGUGCCAUGGCCAGUCAUUUCCUGAAUACUUCCAGGGUUGGUGACUCCACGACCUGCCUGGGUGGCCUGUUCCAGUGUCUGACCACCCUUUGGAAAAAGUUCUUCCUGAUGUUCAACCUGAACAUCCCCUGGCACAACCUGAGGACGUUUCCUCUUGUCCUGUCCCUGGCUGCCUGG